rnacentral:rRNA from 1 species
GACGAACGCUGGCGGCGUGCUUAACACAUGCAAGUCGAACGAUGAAGGGGAGCUUGCUCCUUGGAUUAGUGGCGAACGGGUGAGUAACACGUGAGUAACCUGCCCUGGACUCUGGGAUAACCCCGAGAAAUCGGAGCUAAUACCGGAUAGGACCUGGGACCGCAUGGUUUUGGGUGGAAAGAUUUUUUGGUUUGGGAUGGACUCGCGGCCUAUCAGCUUGUUGGUGAGGUAAUGGCUCACCAAGGCGUCGACGGGUAGCCGGCCUGAGAGGGUGACCGGCCACACUAGGACUGAGACACGGCCCAGACUCCUACGGGAGGCAGCAGUGGGGAAUAUUGCACAAUGGGCGCAAGCCUGAUGCAGCAACGCCGCGUGAGGGAUGACGGCCUUCGGGUUGUAAACCUCUUUUAGUAAGGAAGAAGGGCCCUUUGGGGCUUGACGGUACUUGCAGAAAAAGCACCGGCUAACUACGUGCCAGCAGCCGCGGUAAUACGUAGGGUGCGAGCGUUGUCCGGAAUUAUUGGGCGUAAAGAGCUCGUAGGCGGUUUGUCACGUCUGCUGUGAAAUCCCGAGGCUCAACCUCGGGUCUGCAGUGGGUACGGGCAGACUGGAGUGCGGUAGGGGAGAAUGGAAUCCCUGGUGUAGCGGUGGAAUGCGCAGAUAUCAGGAGGAACACCGAUGGCAAAGGCAGUUCUCUGGGCCGUAACUGACGCUGAGGAGCGAAAGCGUGGGGAGCGAACAGGAUUAGAUACCCUGGUAGUCCACGCCGUAAACGUUGGGCGCUAGAUGUGGGGACCUUUCCACGGUUUCCGUGUCGUAGCUAACGCAUUAA